AGAGUUUGAUCCUGGCUCAGGAUGAACGCUAGCGACAGGCUUAACACAUGCAAGUCGAGGGGCAGCGGGGGUAGCGAUACCCGCCGGCGACCGGCGCACGGGUGAGUAACGCGUAUGCAACUUGCCUAUCAGAGGGGGAUAACCCGGCGAAAGUCGGACUAAUACCGCAUGAAGCAGGGAUCCCGCAUGGGAAUAUUUGCUAAAGAUUCAUCGCUGAUAGAUAGGCAUGCGUUCCAUUAGGCAGUUGGCGGGGUAACGGCCCACCAAACCGACGAUGGAUAGGGGUUCUGAGAGGAAGGUCCCCCACAUUGGUACUGAGACACGGACCAAACUCCUACGGGAGGCAGCAGUGAGGAAUAUUGGUCAAUGGCCGAGAGGCUGAACCAGCCAAGUCGCGUGAGGGAUGAAGGUUCUAUGGAUCGUAAACCUCUUUUAUAAGGGAAUAAAGUGCGGGACGUGUCCCGUUUUGUAUGUACCUUAUGAAUAAGGAUCGGCUAACUCCGUGCCAGCAGCCGCGGUAAUACGGAGGAUCCGAGCGUUAUCCGGAUUUAUUGGGUUUAAAGGGUGCGUAGGCGGCCUUUUAAGUCAGCGGUGAAAGUCUGUGGCUCAACCAUAGAAUUGCCGUUGAAACUGGGGGGCUUGAGUAUGUUUGAGGCAGGCGGAAUGCGUGGUGUAGCGGUGAAAUGCAUAGAUAUCACGCAGAACCCCGAUUGCGAAGGCAGCCUGCCAAGCCAUUACUGACGCUGAUGCACGAAAGCGUGGGGAUCAAACAGGAUUAGAUACCCUGGUAGUCCACGCAGUAAACGAUGAUCACUAGCUGUUUGCGAUACAGUGUAAGCGGCACAGCGAAAGCGUUAAGUGAUCCACCUGGGGAGUACGCCGGCAACGGUGAAACUCAAAGGAAUUGACGGGGGCCCGCACAAGCGGAGGAACAUGUGGUUUAAUUCGAUGAUACGCGAGGA
rnacentral:rRNA from 1 species